AUGCCCUUAGAUGGGGGCUAUUCGAGAGUGGCUGUCGAUGGGUCCCAGAGAAGAAGAAGGGAUCCCUGUCCACACAAGAUGGGGAAGGGAGAGAUAUCUGUGGGCCCCAGGGGGGGAGUAGAUUUCCAAUCGAAACUGUCUUUUGAAAAUGGGGAGAGACGGGGUGGGGAGAGGAGAGAGAGGUGUGAUGCUAGGUCUGUCCGUCUGGGGUGGGGACAAAAACGGGUUGGUCUUAGGUUGAAAUUGGGACCGAGCUGGUCUAUUUCUCUGUGUGUGCUCCUCCCCCCGGGUUCCCCAGAACAGGACAAGACUGCGCACAUCUACCAGAGAGAACGUUCUGCAGGGGGUCAGAGGGUGCUGGACCCUCCAGGGUCUGAGAUAAGGCACAGAGCGUCCACGUCCAUGGGGGCGGGGAGGGCAGCCUUCGAUCUACCACAAAGCCACUGGUUUGUCCGAUAUGUGGCCGCACAGAUGGUGAGGAAUUGGGCGGGAGGGUGGCUUGUAGGAGCUGGCCGGUGGCGCCUGGUGCACAUCUGUGCCCAGAACCUCAGCGGCUGGCAGAGUGCAAGCGUCAACUAGCGGUGGGUCCCGGGACUGCUCCUUGCCCCGCGGCCCCGGCGACCUCAGGCUGGGGACCCAAGUGUCUAUAAACCCAGGUUCCCUGGUUCUGGCGCCCACCGGCAGCAAGCGCCUUUCUCUUGGGCUGGAGCCGUGCGGGCACUUGUGGCCGGGUGCCAGGACCCACAGGACUCCUAUCCUCAGGAAACCCAUUUGUAAACCGGCCAUAGGACGGACGAGAGGGAGAAAUCAGGCGGAGAGACCAGGAAGGGCACUGCUGCAAACCAAAACCACCCAACAAAUCAAAUUUACAAACCCCAGAUGCAGCAGGUCCUGACCCCCAAAACCACUCUGGGGCAGCACAGAGUCACCCGCCCUUCCUGGCCCCAGGCCCUACCUGGACAAGACAAGGCGGGCCUUUGCAGCGGGAAGCUCCCAGAGGUCGGACUCCCAAGGCCCCUGUACCUCACUUUCCUCCAGGUCUGCAGCCAGUGCCAGCACUCCCGAGAGUGUGCAGGCCCCUCCUGGCGAUCUGCAACUCCCACGUGCAGGCUCUAUAAAAAGGUCCAGCGAGGGACCUUCAUUGUCCCCGCUCUCUAAAUGGUCUGAGGGGCCUGGUGUGAGGCUCUGACAGGGCUGGGGACCACCUCUCCAGGUGGUCGAGGUUGAGUCAGGGCCGGUCCAUCCUAGACCCCAUACAGGGCUUGAUUUCGUUUGGCAACGACUAAGCAGCCCGCGAUGGGUCAGAUCCAGGGCGAGAUCUUGCUGCCGCCAUCGAAUCCUAUGCUUCUCCGCUCCCGAGGUUUGGAAUCCGUCGUUUUGCACCUGUCCAAGGCCGGGAACAACGAAUAUCCAACCCGAUCUCCAAAACGGCGGGCAGAUUCUGCACGCGUUCGUUUCCCAGACUCCAAGGGGUCCAUCUGGGGCGAUAAUCCAGAGCAAUGGGGCUUGAUCUUUCC
rnacentral:lncRNA from 1 species